UACGUAGGGUGCAAGCGUUGUCCGGAAUUAUUGGGCGUAAAGAGCUCGUAGGCGGUCUGUCGCGUCGGAUGUGAAAACCCAGGGCUCAACCCUGGGCCUGCAUUCGAUACGGGCAGACUAGAGUUCGGUAGGGGAGACUGGAAUUCCUGGUGUAGCGGUGAAAUGCGCAGAUAUCAGGAGGAACACCGGUGGCGAAGGCGGUGCUCUGGGCCGUGACUGACGCUGAGGAGCGAAAGCGUGGGUAGCAAACAGG
rnacentral:rRNA from 1 species